UACGUAGGGGGCAAGCGUUGUCCGGAAUCAUUGGGCGUAAAGCGCGUGUAGGCGGCCCAGUAAGUCCGCUGUGAAAGCCCAGGGCUCAACCCUGGGAUGCCGGUGGAUACUGUUGGGCUCGAGUCCGGAAGAGGCGAGUGGAAUUCCCGGUGUAGCGGUGAAAUGCGUAGAUAUCGAGAGGAACACCUGCGGCGAAGGCGGGUUGCUGGGCCGACACUGACGCUGAUGCGCGAAAGCCAGGGGAGCGAACGGGG
rnacentral:rRNA from 1 species